rnacentral:rRNA from 1 species
UGAAUACGAGAUGCUACGGCGUCGAAGCAGUCUAUGUCAUACUUCCAAGAAAAGCAUGCACUGUCAUAAACAAAUAAUGCCUGUACCAUAACCGACACAGGUGGGUAGGUAGAGUAUACUAAGGGGCGCGAGAUAACUCUCUCUAAGGAACUCGGCAAAAUGACUCCGUAACUUCGGGAGAAGGAGUGCCUUAUUUAUAAGGUUGCAAUAACAAGAUCCAAGCAACUGUUUACCAAAAACACAGGUCUCCGCUAAGUCGUAAGACGAUGUAUGGGGGCUGACGCCUGCCCAGUGCCAGAAGGUUAAAGAAGUUGGUUAGCAUCCGCGAAGCUGAUAACUGAAGCCCUGGUGAACGGCGGCCGUAACAAUAACGGUCCUAAGGUAGCGAAAUUCCUUGUCGGGUAAGUUCCGACCCGCACGAAAGGCGUAAUGAUUUGGAUACUGUCUCGGAGAGGGGCUCGGUGAAAUAGACUUGUCUGUGAAGAUGCGGACUACCUGCACCAGGACAGAAAGACCCUAUGAAGCUUUACUGUAACCUGAAAUUGAAAUUGGACUUUACUUGCGCAGUAUAGGUGGGAGGCGUUGAGAAUAUUCUUGCAGGAUUAUUGGAGCCAUCAGUGAGAUACCACUCUUGUAAUGUUAGAUUUCUAACUUAGUAUCAUUAUCUGGGCAAAGAACAGUUUCAGGCGGGCAGUUUGACUGGGGCGGUCGCCUCCUAAACGGUAACGGAGGCGCACAAAGGUUUCCUCUGAACGGGUAGAAAUCGUAUCUAGAGUGUAAAGGCAUAAGGAAGCUUGACUGUGAGACCUACAAGUCGAGCAGGGACGAAAGUCGGUCUUAGUGAUCUGACGGUGCUGAGUGGAAAGGCCGUCACUCAACGGAUAAAAGUUACUCUAGGAUAACAGGCUGAUCUCCCCCAAGAGUUCACAUCGACGGGGAGGUUUGGCACCUCGAUGUCGGCUCAUCGCAUCCUGGGGCGGUAGUACGUCCCAAGGGUUGGGCUGUUCGCCCAUGAAAGCGGUACGCGAGCUGGGUUCAGAACGUCGUGAGACAGUUCGGUCCAUAUCCGGUGUAAGCGUUAGAAUAUUGAGAGGAGCCUUCUUUAGUACGAGAGGACCGAGAAGGACAUACCUCUGGUGUACCAGUUAUCGUGCCAACGGUAAACGCUGGGUAGCUAUGUGUGGAGUGGAUAACCGCUGAAAGCAUCUAAGUGGGAAGCCCACCUCAAGACAAGUAUUCUC